AACCGUGUCUCCUCCAGAAUUUAUUUUCUUGGAGAAGAAGAAAAAACGGGGAAUUCAUAAACGGAAGUACACAGUUAAUGUCCAAACAGUGGGCACCCAAUUCCAAAACAGAGAUUUCUAAUGCAAACUAACUGAAACCCCAAGUUUCACAAUUUAAUACCAUUAAACCCUGAAGAAGAAAGGNAAAAAAAUAAAAAUGGAUGCAGCCCAAAAUCCCCAGCAUCCAGUAUGUGCGCAAGAGGCGCUGGAUCUGCUCAAUUGUGUAACCCAAUCCGCUUACGAUCAAGAAAAAUGCAUUUCCCUUCUUCAAUCGUUGCGUCAAUGCGUUCUCAGUAAGGUAUUUAUGUGAAACUUAAUCUACAAAAUUGCACACACAGUGUUUGUUCUAUUUCCACAGAGA
rnacentral:lncRNA from 1 species